rnacentral:rRNA from 1 species
UACGUAGGGGGCUAGCGUUGUCCGGAAUCAUUGGGCGUAAAGCGCGUGUAGGCGGUCCGGUAAGUCCGCUGUGAAAGUCGGGGGCUCAACCCUCGAAUGCCGGUGGAUACUGUCGGGCUAGAGUGCGGAAGAGGCGAGUGGAAUUCCGUGGUGUAGCGGUGAAAUGCGCAGAUAUCAGGAGGAACACCAAUUGCGAAGGCAGCUCGCUGGGACGUUACUGACGCUGAGGAGCGAAAGCGUGGGGAGCGAACAGG